UACAGAGGGUGCAAGCGUUAAUCGGAAUUACUGGGCGUAAAGCGUGCGCAGGCGGCUUUGCAAGACAGAUGUGAAAUCCCCGGGCUCAACCUGGGAACUGCAUUUGUGACUGCAUGGCUAGAGUACGGUAGAGGGGGGAUGGAAUUCCAGGUGUAGCGGUGAAAUGCGUAGAGAUCUGGAGGAACACCGAUGGCGAAGGCAGCCUUCUGGGCCAACACUGACGCUCAUGCACGAAAGCGUGGGGAGCAAACAGGG
rnacentral:rRNA from 1 species